rnacentral:rRNA from 1 species
AAGAGAUCGGGAUAACACCUGGAAACAGAUGCUAAUACCGGAUAAUAACAGAUGAUGCCUAUCAACNGUUUAAAAGAUGGUUCUGCUAUCACUCUUGGAUGGACCUGCGGUGCAUUAGCUAGUUGGUAGGGUAACGGCCUACCAAGGCGAUGAUGCAUAGCCGAGUUGAGAGACUGAUCGGCCACAUUGGGACUGAGACACGGCCCAAACUCCUACGGGAGGCAGCAGGG